rnacentral:rRNA from 1 species
GAUGAACGCUGGCGGCGUGCCUAAUACAUGCAAGUCGAGCGAACAGACGAGGAGCUUGCUCCUUUGACGUUAGCGGCGGACGGGUGAGUAACACGUGGGUAACCUACCUAUAAGACUGGGAUAACUUCGGGAAACCGGAGCUAAUACCGGAUAAUAUUUCGAACCGCAUGGUUCGAUAGUGAAAGAUGGCUUUGCUAUCACUUAUAGAUGGACCUGCGCCGUAUUAGCUAGUUGGUAAGGUAACGGCUUACCAAGGCAACGAUACGUAGCCGACCUGAGAGGGUGAUCGGCCACACUGGAACUGAGACACGGUCCAGACUCCUACGGGAGGCAGCAGUAGGGAAUCUUCCGCAAUGGGCGAAAGCCUGACGGAGCAACGCCGCGUGAGUGAUGAAGGUCUUCGGAUCGUAAAACUCUGUUAUUAGGGAAGAACAAACGUGUAAGUAACUGUGCACGUCUUGACGGUACCUAAUCAGAAAGCCACGGCUAACUACGUGCCAGCAGCCGCGGUAAUACGUAGGUGGCAAGCGUUAUCCGGAAUUUAUGGGCGUAAGCGCGCGUAGGCGGUUUUUUAAGUCUGAUGUGAAAGCCCACGGCUCAACCGUGGAGGGUCAUUGGAAACUGGAAAACUUGAGUGCAGAAGAGGAAAGUGGAAUUCCAUGUGUAGCGGUGAAAUGCGCAGAGAUAUGGAGGAACACCAGUGGCGAAGGCGACUUUCUGGUCUGUAACUGACGCUGAUGUGCGAAAGCGUGGGGAUCAAACAGGAUUAGAUACCCUGGUAGUCCACGCCGUAAACGAUGAGUGCUAAGUGUUAGGGGGUUUCCGCCCCUUAGUGCUGCAGCUAACGCAUUAAGCACUCCGCCUGGGGGGUACGACCGCAGGGUUGAAACUCAAAGGAAUUGACGGGGACCCGCACAAGCGGUGGAGCAUGUGGUUUAAUUCGAAGCAACGCGAAGAACCUUACCAAAUCUUGACAUCCUUUGACCCUUCUAGAGAUAGAAGUUUCCCCUUCGGGGGACAAAGUGACAGGUGGUGCAUGGUUGUCGUCAGCUCGUGUCGUGAGAUGUUGGGUUAAGUCCCGCAACGAGCGCAACCCUUAAGCUUAGUUGCCAUCAUUAAGUUGGGCACUCUAAGUUGACUGCCGGUGACAAACCGGAGGAAGGUGGGGAUGACGUCAAAUCAUCAUGCCCCUUAUGAUUUGGGCUACACACGUGCUACAAUGGACAAUACAAAGGGCAGCGAAACCGCGAGGUCAAGCAAAUCCCAUAAAGUUGUUCUCAGUUCGGAUUGUAGUCUGCAACUCGACUACAUGAAGCUGGAAUCGCUAGUAAUCGUAGAUCAGCAUGCUACGGUGAAUACGUUCCCGGGUCU